GAUGAACGCUCGCGGGAGGCCUAACACAUGCAAGCCGAGCGGUAGAGUUCCUUCGGGAACUUGAGAGCGGCGUACGGGUGCGUAACACGUGUGCAACCUACCUUUAUCUGGGGGAUAGCCUUUCGAAAGGAAGAUUAAUACCCCAUAAUAUAAUGAUUGGCAUCAAUUAUUAUUGAAAACUCCGGUGGAUAGAGAUGGGCACGCGCAAGAUUAGAUAGUUGGUGAGGUAACGGCUCACCAAGUCAAUGAUCUUUAGGGGUCCUGAGAGGGAGAUCCCCCACACUGGUACUGAGACACGGACCAGACUCCUACGGGAGGCAGCAGUGAGGAAUAUUGGACAAUGGGUGAAAGCCUGAUCCAGCCAUCCCGCGUGAAGGAGGACGGUCCUAUGGAUUGUAAACUUCUUUUGUACAGGGAUAAACCUACUCUCGUGAGGGUAGCUGAAGGUACUGUACGAAUAAGCACCGGCUAACUCCGUG
rnacentral:rRNA from 1 species